GCAAAGCCUAGGGCUGCUGCACCUGCUUGUGUGAUCCCCACUCAGCCACAGCCUGGAAGGGGCAGCUUGGCGGGCAACAGCUGGUGCGGGCAGAAAGGCUCCUUUGUCUGCAGGGGCUUAAUAGACUGCACUCCUGUUGUCUCUCUCACGGUGAAGUGUCUGGAACCUUCCAGGCAAGCCUCUGGGGUCCUGUCCUCCAGUCUGCACACAGAGCUUUCUCCUUCCAGUACCAUACUGUGGAUGCAUGCCAGGGCGUCAGGUAGUGUAGUGCCUCCGUUCCUGGCAAGGCUGCAGAGACCUGUGCCCUUGGCUCCUGUCAUCCCCACUGUGAGAAGUCGCAAUAAUUUUUUUUAAUUUUUAUUUUUUUUAACGUACAUUGCUGUUUUGCCUGCAUGUGCAUCUGUGUCAGAUCCCCUGGAACAGGACUUAGAGAUAGUUAUGAGCUGUUAUGUUAAAUUGAACCCAGGUCCUCUGGAAGACUAGCCAAGUACUUUUGGCUACUGAUCCAUCUCUGUAGCCUCAAGUAGCAUGAUCUUAGUACCAGCUGAUAGGAGAGUUGAGGAAGUUGCUGGUGACCUGCUGCUAGCUCUAUGGCUCUAUGGCUUUGAAGCCCCCCACCCCUCAAGUGUACUGUGGUUGUCCUGCUCUGCCUUACCUGUGGGGCUUUGUGUGGUUAAAACCCCAUGUAAACCCCCUGGGUGCAUGGGCCUUGUUGCCACUUGCUUGUGCAUAGAUAUACUUUGAGAUGAGACAGGUUGAUAAAGCCAACCCAGAAUACGGUGGGGAUGAGGCUCUUCCAUUUCCAUGUUGUCUGUAUGGUGUAGUGGAAGGCAUGGAUCUCUCUCCAGCUGAUGCCCUCACCACCAGGAGAAUGCCUCUGUAUGCUUGCUUUUUGUUGGUGUUUUGUUUUCUUGUAUUGUGUUUCCCCCAUCUAGCCCUGGGUGUCCUGGAACUCACUUUUAGACCAAGUUGGCCUCGAACUCAGAAAUCCGCCUGCCUCUGCCUCCCGGGUGCUGGGAUUAAAGGCGUGCACUACCACUGCCUGGUAACAUUCUUUUUUUUUUAAGAUUUACUUAUUUACUUUAUGUAUAUGUGUACACUGUAGCUGUACAGAAAGUUGUGAGCCAUCAUGUGGUUGCUGGGAAUUGAAUUUAGGACCUCUGCUUGCUCUGAUUGUCCCUGCUUGCUCUGGCCCAAAGUUUUGUUUUGUUUUGUUGUUUUUUGUUUUUGUUUUGUUUUGUUGUUUUUUUCGAGACAGACUUUUUGUGUAGCCCUGGCUGUCCUGGAAUUCACUUUGUAGACCAGGCUGUCCUCAAACUCAGAAAUCUGCCUGCCUCUGCUGGGAUUAAAGGCAUGUACCACCACUGCCUGGCUCAUUUGGUUGCUCUUUGCUAGUUGCAGGUCAUGAGUGGUCAGCUGUGCCUGUGCUCUCUGAGUCCACUAGGUGGGGGCUCCUGCUUGUCCUUGCUCUUGACCCUCUUUCCUAGUUCCCCUUGCUUGCCCUGUAGGCAAGUGGUUAGGGCUGAAGGCCGUGCAGCCGAAAGCUGGGUCCUGGCAGUGUGGACCAUGCCUAGUUGAGUUGCCUGUCCUUUGCAACUUGUCUGGCCACCAUCUCUUUUGGGGAUAGGGAGCACCUGCCUGGGCAGAGUGGCUUGUGCUGGAUGGUCACUGGCCACUUAAAAGACAGGGCAGACAGUGUGUUCAGCUGUUGGGUGUCACCACCCUGUCCAGAUCUGCACCUGUCUGCGUUGCUGGGGCCAUGGGAAAUGCUGGCAGCUCUCCAGGGACAACUGGAGGCCAUACCAUGGUGACUGGCAGGCUGUGUGAUGUGGAUGGUGAAUAGUUAGGACAUUAGCGAGGUGUAGGAAACACCCUGGACUUUGUUGGGUUUUCAGCCCUCAGAUCACAAAACAUCCAAAGCAGCCUUGAUGAGCUGCUCUUGCUACCUCCCUGCCUGCCUGCCUGCCUGCCUGCCUGCUCCUGCUGUGAGGCCACCCUGUGUGCCCACACCCUGAGUGCCCACACCUAUGCUAUAGCCUCAUGUGGCUUACUUUGUUGUGCCUGUGGCAUCUAGAGAUCAUCCUCAGGUGUCACCUCUCAGUGCCCAGCACUUCCUUUCAUACUGAUAGGAACCUGGAACCUGUGACUAGAUGAAGUGACAGGGCUCACCGGUAUACACCACCACAGUCGGAUAUUUAUGGGUAUUGGGAGAUCAAACUCAGAUUCUCUGGCUUGCUUGUCAAGAUUUACUGUCUCCCCAGUCCACUGUUAGCUGGUUUCUUUGGCAGGGAAUUGAUGCUUCCACAAGGGAACCAUGUUGGUCCACAGACUCAGUACGGGGUAGCCAGCGCACUGGAAUGACAGGAUGGAGUAUCUGCUGUGCGGGCAGAAUUCAGGACUCUGCAUCAGGCAUGGGUCACACUUUUACUUUCCCAGUGCCAGACCCUGUCACUGAGCUCUGCUUCCUAAGAACUGAGUUGGGAGUGUCCCCUCUCUUAAGUUUAGAGUCUGCUUAGGAUGUGGGAUGUCUGUUUUAUUUUAUUUAUAUGAGUACACUAGCUAUCUUCAGACACACC
rnacentral:lncRNA from 1 species